rnacentral:tRNA from 1 species
AGUCCCGGGGUGUUUCACGUCAAAAUGCAAGUUUGAAGAGGAGCCCUAAAAAGGCU